rnacentral:lncRNA from 1 species
UCUGCACUUCACUCAGAGCCUCUUGGUCCUGGCCACUCACUCACUGGUCCAGGAUCCAAAGUAACUCAGCAGAAACAAACUCCCAACUAAAAAUCCCCUCGAAUGUCUCCCAGGGAAGAAAUAUAGCUCCUAUAAUUACAGGAGGCCACCGCUGGAGGGGAAUGCAGCCCGCAGCCAAAACCAAAGAAAAUUUCAAGCGAAAUCAAAUCACCAAAAGGUUUAUCAGUUCUUUACAGGAGAGAUACUGCUGAGAUUUGCUUUUGAGGAGUUUCUACCUAGAGAAAUCCAAGGCCUUCAGUCUGGACGGAAACUCACGGGGAGGACGACAUCAGAGGUUAUGCAGCUAGGGGAGCAACAUCUCAGUAGGACCCACACAAAGGUGACAA